rnacentral:rRNA from 1 species
UACGUAGGGUGCGAGCGUUGUCCGGAAUUACUGGGCGUAAAGAGCUCGUAGGUGGUUUGUCGCGUUGUUCGUGAAAUCUCACGGCUUAACUGUGAGCGUGCGGGCGAUACGGGCAGACUUGAGUACUGCAGGGGAGACUGGAAUUCCUGGUGUAGCGGUGGAAUGCGCAGAUAUCAGGAGGAACACCGGUGGCGAAGGCGGAUCUCUGGGCCUUACCUGACGCUCAGGCGCGAAAGCUAGGGGAGCGAACUGG